rnacentral:rRNA from 1 species
CUCAGGACGAACGCUGGCGGCGUGCCUAAUACAUGCAAGUAGAACGCUGAGGACUGGUGCUUGCACUGGUCUAAGGAGUUGCGAACGGGUGAGUAACGCGUAGGUAACCUACCUCAUAGCGGGGGAUAACUAUUGGAAACGAUAGCUAAUACCGCAUGACAAUAGGGUACACAUGUACCCUAUUUAAAAGGGGCAACUGCUUCACUAUGAGAUGGACCUGCGUUGUAUUAGCUAGUUGGUAAGGUAACGGCUUACCAAGGCGACGAUACAUAGCCGACCUGAGAGGGUGAUCGGCCACACUGGGACUGAGACACGGCCCAGACUCCUACGGGAGGCAGCAGUAGGGAAUCUUCGGCGAAUGGGGGGAACCCUGACCGAGCAACGCCGCGUGAGUGAAGAAAGGUUUUCGGAUCGUAAAGC